AAAAUACAGAGGUAAACUCAUUGAAAAAUGAGGGCACAAAGCUACAAGUCUAAGGGCAGGAAAAAGGUAAAAUACGAAUCUCUUGCUUAGGAUGGUUGAGUUGCAUUU
rnacentral:ncRNA from 2 species